ACCUUUCAGGAACAAGUUGUCUACUAUAUCCAGCCAAGCCUUUACUGCAUACAUGUGCACAUUUUUAGUUGAUGCAUCUAAAAGAUAUAGUUUUGAUUCGGUGAUUAUUUGUUUUCUUUUUAUUCAAAUAAUUUUAAAAUGUGAUGAUGUACACAACAAUAAUUAGUACCUAGUUUAGAGGAUUUUUUCGCGCUUGUUUGUAAACAACGCGCGGCAUUGUGGGAAAUAGGAAUGUACUAAAGACGCGAUGUACUAAACAUUGAUUUGACCUGAUUCAAAUUUGUCUGUAAAUGUUCCAAACAAUUAAAUUUUUGUAUAGCAUAUGCCUCGAAGUCAUAAAGUCUGUACAUAAGUAAUUUAAAAUACUCAAUAUUACCAUUUAAUUAAAAAUUAAAACGUCAGGUAAAUAUCAGGUCUCUAGUAUAUCCCGUUUUUAGUGUGCCCCUUCGAGUCGACGUCGGCCACAUGUUUGCCAUGGUUUACAAACUGAAAAUAGAAUGAUUUGUGAAGUUGAACAUUUUCUCACAAAGACUCCGUUUGUAGACAUGUACACUCAUUUAAUCUGCAGCUACGAAGUACUUUGUCACUUCUCUGGAACAUUAUUCUAAGCAGAAUUAUCCCUAUUCAUAUAUUCUAAGAAUCUUGUGUGAAUUGUUUACGAGGAAAUUCUGACUGUCACAUUAACAAGGAUGAACACUCUUGACUCUGCUUCGGAUUCCCCAGUGAUAAUUGUAUCGAGUGAUGAAAGAGCUGACGGCGACAUUUUAAUGUAUGAUUGGCUUGGACCAUUGGAAUGAAGUCAUUUCAUGGUGCCACCACUUGGGAUGGUAUUAGCUGCAAAUAUAGACUUGUACUUAGCACUUAUUGCCUUUAAGAAGUAUGAGAUCCAUUUUGUGCUAACACCUACCGUGACAUAGAAUCUUGGUUUAUGCAGUCUCAUAGGAGUAACCUGUCUAAAGCAUUUAGCAAUGGAAUUGGAACCUGCGACGUGUGACUCAUCUGAAUACUGAAUUUUGAUACCAAGCAUGACCAUGAUUUGCCAGAAGAUCAUCUGUUUGGAUGUGACAUGGAAUAAACAGCAUAGUGAAAAUAAGUCAAGUUUUGGUUUGUGACGACAACUUUUAAACACAUUGUGUAUCAUUUUUAAAUUUUGAUUUGACAACAUAAAUCCACAAAUAUGAACAUAUCAAUUGCUCUCAGUUUUUCAAGUGAAAUAGUUUUUGUAACAGAAAUACAUGUACCAGUAAUUACAUUGGAAUAAAUGUUAUUUUUAAAUAUAAUAAUAUUUUGUUUGUGUUGCAUGUUGACCUCUUUAUUAAGGUCUUCCCUUUCAA